GGCUCAAGCGCGGGAGCCCGAAGGCUCAGGGUUUGCAGAGGCGAAGGGCUGGGCGUGUGUGCAGCCCCUGACCCACGCCAGCUCACGGGCCACUUGGGGGUUGACUCCAGGUCUGGGGCUCUCACUGCAGGCUCCUCAGAGGAGGAGGCCAGAGGACUCUCCACAAGAGCUGUCAGCGGGGCUGUUGGGUCCACUUCAUGCCCCUUAGAGGACUCAGGUUCUGAGGCCUCCAGAGGGUCCCUGGUGGCUGUCUGCUGCUCUCUUGGGGUGGUGAAGAUGGCGUCCAUCCCCAGAAGGGAGAGGCACUUCCAUCCGGACCCGUUUUAAACUGUGAAUGCAACUAGAGCCCAGGAUAAAAAUUAUCUCAUCGUUGGCGUCUCCCCUGGAGUCCACCUGCCCUCCAUUGGAAUCCCUGGACAUUUCUUAUCUCCCCUUCCAGUCUGGACACUGAUGGAGAACGAGGACCCAAUCUGGUGGCCUCUGAGGCCUGAGCCUCAUGUGGCAAAUGCUUAGUGAAUACUUAUUGGCUAAAGUUCUCCCUUUCCAAAAUCAAUGUCACCGCUGCAGGAAACCGUUCAAAUAAAAACAGCCGAAAUGUG